GAAACGUAAUACGCCGCGUAGACUUCGGUCACGACGGUAUGGCGAGCUUUCGCCGUCCACGUUUCUCUUUCUUCAAGAAGACAAAAAACCGUAUCGACCGGUUCCCCGAAUGGGCCCGUAGCUCAGUUGGUUAGAGCACACGCUUGAUAAGCGUGGGGUCGGAAGUUCAAGUCUUCCCGGGCCCACCAUUUACUUGAUGUGAAUGAUGGUUUGGGAUGAUGGAAUGGCAGUUGAUGCGGAUUGUUGCCGAACCCGGGAUGUGUCCUGGGCGAUCGAGCUGAUGGGGCUGUAGCUCAGCUGGGAGAGCACCUGCUUUGCAAGCAGGGGGUCAGCGGUUCGAUCCCGCUCAGCUCCACCAAAUCGAUUGGUGUUGAGACUGACGGCAUUUGUCUUUUGAAGAAAUACAAGUUUUGCAUCGGCUUUGAGCCUGAUGCCUGUUCUGCAUAUAUCGUGAAGAGAAGAUUGAUCUGGAGGCUUCCAGGUGUUUUGGGGUUCUGCCCAAAGCGUCCGAGCCCAGUUCCUGUGAACCCAUGGAUGGCCUAGCCGGCCGGAUGUGGUGGAGGGAUUGGAGGUAGGAAGGAAGCUUGUCGCUCUGGAUCGUCAGCGUAAACCGCGUAGCGGUUUAUCGCGUGUUGUUCGUUGCCUUUGGGCAUCGUCUGACGGACGAUCGGAUUACCGUUGCCUGACCGCGCGGUAUCGGAUCCAAUCUCGAGAAGCUGGUCUUAAGACAGGCUGCAAGUGGGCUGCUCGGCGUAGCUCCAAUAAAGCAGACCUGUCGAACACGUUAAUGGCAU
rnacentral:tRNA from 1 species